GGAUGCGGAUCUCGAAAGCCUGUCCCAGUUCGGACUGGAGUCUGCAACCCGACUCCACGAAGUUGGAUUCGCUAGUAAUCGCGCAUCAGCCAUGGCGCGGUGAAUACGUUCCCGGGCCUUGUACACACCGCCCGUCAAGCCAUGGGAGCCGGGGGCGCCUGAAGUCCGGGACCGCGAGGACCGGCCUAGGGCGAAACUGGUAACUGGGGCUAAGUCGUAACAAGGUAAC
rnacentral:rRNA from 1 species